GACAGAGGAUGCAAGCGUUAUCCGGAAUGAUUGGGCGUAAAGCGUCUGUAGGUGGCUUUUUAAGUCUGCCGUCAAAUCCCAGGGCUUAACCCUGGACAGGCGGUGGAAACUACCAAGCUGGAGUACGGUAGGGGCAGAGGGAAUUUCCGGUGGAGCGGUGAAAUGCGUAGAGAUCGGAAAGAACACCAACGGCGAAGGCGGGUUGCUGGGCUGAUACUGACGCUGAGGCGCGAAAGCGUGGGGAGCGAACAGG
rnacentral:rRNA from 1 species